rnacentral:rRNA from 1 species
GAUGAACGCUAGCUACAGGCUUAACACAUGCAAGUCGAGGGGCAGCAUGAACAAAGCUUGCUUUGUUUGAUGGCGACCGGCGCACGGGUGAGUAACACGUAUCCAACCUGCCCAUAACUCAGGGAUAGCCUUUCGAAAGAAAGAUUAAUACUUGAUAGUAUAUUUUAGCCGCAUGGUUUUAAUAUUAAAGAUUUAUUGGUUAUGGAUGGGGAUGCGUUCCAUUAGGUAGUAGGUGAGGUAACGGCUCACCUAGCCAUCGAUGGAUAGGGGUUCUGAGAGGAAGGUCCCCCACAUUGGAACUGAGACACGGUCCAAACUCCUACGGGAGGCAGCAGUGAGGAAUAUUGGUCGAUGGCCGGAAGGCUGAACCAGCCAAGUAGCGUGAAGGAUGACUGCCCUAUGGGUUGUAAACUUCUUUUAUAUGGGAAUAAAAGACAUUACGUGUAGUGUUUUGUAUGUACCUUACGAAUAAGCAUCGGCUAAUUCCGUGCCAGCCGCCGCCGUAACAC